rnacentral:rRNA from 1 species
CCCUUAGAUGUCCGGGGCCGCACGCGCGCUACACUGAAGGAUUCAGCGUGGCUUUCUCCCUGACCCGAAAGGGUUGGGAAACCCGUUGAAUCUCCUUCGUGAUAGGGAUUGGGGCUUGAAAUUGUUCCCCAUGAACGAGGAAUUCCCAGUAAGCGCGAGUCAUAAGCUCGCGUUGAUUACGUCCCUGCCCUUUGUACACACCGCCCGUCGCUACUACCGAUUGAACGGUUUAGUGAGGGCCUCGGAUUGGUCUCGGCCCGCUCUUUACCGGGCGGCGCCGUUGGUCGAGAAGACGCUCGAACUUGAUCGUUUAGAGGAAGUAAAAGUCGUAACA